UCGUCAUCGUAGGGUUAGUCGGGACCUAAGUCGAGUCCGAAAGGGGUAGACGAUGGCAAAUCGGUUAAUAUUCCGAUACCGACGGUUGUUUGUUUGAAUGAUGGGGGGACGCAUAGAGUUAAUCGAGCUCACUGAUGGAAUAGUGGGUCGAAGGACGUAGGUUGAUACUUAGGCAAAUCCGGGUAUCGUUAGACCGAGAUCUUACAGGCUCUUGACACUCUUCGGAGGAGAUAGAGAAUCGAUGAUACUGUCGUGCCAAGAAAAGCCACUAAGUUUAUUAUAUGUUGCCCGUACCGUAAACCGACACAGGUAGGUGGGAUGAGUAUUCUAAGGCGCGUGGAAGAACCCUGGUUAAGGAACUCUGCAAACUAGCACCGUAUCUUCGGUAUAAGGUGUGCCUACUUCGGUAGGUCGCAGCAAAGAGUCCCUCCCGACUGUUUAC
rnacentral:rRNA from 1 species